rnacentral:rRNA from 1 species
GAUCCUGGCUCAGAUUGAACGCUGGCGGCAGGCCUAACACAUGCAAGUCGAACGGUAACAGAAAGCAGCUUGCUGCUUUGCUGACGAGUGGCGGACGGGUGAGUAAUGUCUGGGAAACUGCCUGAUGGAGGGGGAUAACGUACUGGAAACGGUAGCUAAUACCGCAUAACGUCGCAAGACCAAAGAGGGGGACCUUCGGGCCGUCUUGCCAUCGGAUGUGCCCAGAUGGGAUUAGCUUGUUGGG